rnacentral:rRNA from 1 species
ACUCCUACGGGAGGCAGCAGUAGGGAAUCUUCCACAAUGGGCGCAAGCCUGAUGGAGCAACACCGCGUGAGUGAAGAAGGGUUUCGGCUCGUAAAGCUCUGUUGUUAAAGAAGAACACGUAUGAGAGUAACUGUUCAUACGUUGACGGUAUUUAACCAGAAAGUCACGGCUAACUACGUGCCAGCAGCCGCGGUAAUACGUAGGUGGCAAGCGUUAUCCGGAUUUAUUGGGCGUAAAGAGAGUGCAGGCGGUUUUCUAAGUCUGAUGUGAAAGCCUUCGGCUUAACCGGAGAAGUGCAUCGGAAACUGGAUAACUUGAGUGCAGAAGAGGGUAGUGGAACUCCAUGUGUAGCGGUGGAAUGCGUAGAUAUAAUGGAAGAACACCAGUGGCGAAGGCGGCUACCUGGUCUGCAACUGACGCUGAGACUCGAAACGCAU